ACUUGACCUCAAAUCAGGUAG
rnacentral:rRNA from 1 species